UCCUACGGGAGGCAGCAGUAGGGAAUCUUCCGCAAUGGACGAAAGUCUGACGGAGCAACGCCGCGUGAGUGAUGAAGGCUUUCGGGUCGUAAAACUCUGUUGUUAGGGAAGAACAAGUGCUAGUUGAAUAAGCUGGCACCUUGACGGUACCUAACCAGAAAGCCACGGCUAACUACGUGCCAGCAGCCGCGGUAAUACGUAGGUGGCAAGCGUUAUCCGGAAUUAUUGGGCGUAAAGCGCGCGCAGGUGGUUUCUUAAGUCUGAUGUGAAAGCCCACGGCUCAACCGUGGAGGGUCAUUGGAAACUGGGAGACUUGAGUGCAGAAGAGGAAAGUGGAAUUCCAUGUGUAGCGGUGAAAUGCGUAGAGAUAUGGAGGAACACCAGUGGCGAAGGCGACUUUCUGGUCUGUAACUGACACUGAGGCGCGAAAGCGUGGGGAGCAAACAGGAUUAGAUACCCUGGUAGUCCACGCCGUAAACGAUGAGUGCUAAGUGUUAGAGGGUUUCCGCCCUUUAGUGCUGAAGUUAACGCAUUAAGCACNCCGNCUGGGGAGUACGGCCGCANGC
rnacentral:rRNA from 1 species